rnacentral:rRNA from 1 species
GUGUCAGCCGCCGCGGUAAUACGGAGGGUGCAAGCGUUAUCCGGAAUUACUGGGUUUAAAGGGUGCGUAGGCGGUGAGAUAAGUCAGUUGUGAAAUACCAUGGCUCAACCAUUGGGACUGCGAUUGAUACUGUUUCACUUGAAUCAGGUUGAGGUGAGCGGAAUGUGGCAUGUAGCGGUGAAAUGCAUAGAUAUGCCAUAGAACACCGAUUGCGAAGGCAGCUUGCUGGACCUUGAUUGACGCUGAGGCACGAAAGCGUGGGGAGCAAACAGGAUUAGAAACCCUUGUAGUCC